CUAGCUCGCCGCUAGCAUUAGCGUUAGCAUUAGCCUUCUAUUUUAACGUUUUUAUCGCGUGGGUAAGAGUGUAUUUGUAUUUCCGUGACUGAGGCGUUCCUGACAUGAGUUGUGGACCACCAACGUGGAAGGGUGAAAACACAAGGAGCUCUUGAUAUUUUGUUUAAAGCCCUGUUGAAAUUGUUAACAGUCACCUCUUUGUAAUUUUGUGUGCCGUCCUGGUCAUUUUUAACUCAGUUUAUAAGGGUCUGUCAUGACCUAACUGCUUUAUACCUGGAUGUAAACCUUAACAACAGCAAAUUUGAGGUGCCGCCAUGGCCACACCCUUUGAUGAAAACUCAAGCUUUUGAUAACUUUCAACCACAAAGGCGUUCACAUUUCAUUGACUGAGUUUGAAGUCGAUAUGAUUAAAUCUCUAGGAGGACUCGAUUCAAAUUCUCGUUUUUGUUUGUCAUAGUAUAGUACGUAAUCAAAAAUGUCAAAAACACAGUAUAGUAAAGCAUCAAAUAGUAUUAUGAGGCAUUAAAUGUUUUUAAAAAUGUCAUAGUAUAAAAAGGUCAAAAAAUGUCAUAAUAUAGUAAGACAUAAAAAUGUUUUGUUAAAUGUUCUGUUUCAGCUGUCAUGUUGAAUGUUUGUCUGUGUUUUCAUAGUUAAACUGUUGAUGAGGAAUAAGUAGUAGUGUAUUGAACAUUUUCCUUUGUAUCUUUCCCUUUGAUUUCCCCCAGGUGACUCCACAUCAUCCACGAUCCCAGAGAUGUGGUCCCUGAUCAGAGAGACAUUGUCGAGGAUGAGGAAGACAUCGUCCACGACGAGACAUUGUCCAUGACUUCAGAGACGUGUGAAAGUUGGUAGUAACAGAGUUCCCAAUUUGACGGCAUCGUCUGUGAUCAGACUGUCUUUGUACAAUGAAGAGGUUCUUUGAGACCAGGACGGAGGCCUUCAGGUGUCACCACUUCGUCCAUGAUCACAGAGUAUUUGUACAAUGAAGAAUUUCUUUGACACCAGGACAGAGGCCUCCAGGAGGAGAAGACGACAGCAGCUGAAGACCUGAAGUGGACAAAAGAAACAAAAGUCGAAAGUGUUAAUUAGAUAAAAGACCUCCACCAUCCAACUGCUGUAAACAGUACUGGUUUCCUGUUGUUCAAGUGAAACACUUUUUUCUCUACCAUCUAUAAUGUAGUCAUGGGCACAUUUUCCAAAGACUAAUAUGUCUUUUUUAAACACCUGUGAGAGCAGUCAACAGCUUAUGAUACUAUUAUUUAAUAAAUAAUUAGUAGACAUGUUCAUCUUUUGGAAAAUGUGCUCAUAACUACAUUAACCCUAACAAGCUCUAGCAAGUGUUUCUGUCAUUAUCUUUGCUGUGGUAAAUAUUGUCUGGAAUAAAAUCAAGUGUCUUCCUAAACUUUUGAGUUGUUUUUGUCUAUUUUGAGACUGAUGUACAAAUCAUUUUAUUGCUUUUUAUUGUAAGAAAACGUUGUGGUUUUCCACUCAUUGUUCAGACAUAUUUUUAAGUGUUAGGGUUAGGGUAGGGUUAUGGUUAGGGUUAGUUUCAUAUUUUUAAAACAAAACUCUUAGUUUUAAUUAAAGAUUUUACAGGCUUUAUACUUGUUUUUUUUUAAAGACUUAUUGUUUAAGGUUUUGUACUUAAUUUUUUAUGAAUUUGAUACUUGUGAUACAUAUUUUUUUAAGGUUCUAAAUUUAUUUUUCCAGGUUUCAUGCUCAAUUCUUGGACCCAUUUUAAAGGAUUUUAAUAUAUAUGUAUUUUAACACUGAGUAUUUAAAGGUUUUAACCCUAUUUAUCAAACCAGAUUUUUAAAUGUUUUAUCCUUAUUUUUUAGACCUAUUUAUUUAAUGUUUUAAUUGUA